GCUGUCGCUCGGCGUUGUCAUGGCGCUGGAGGCGCUGCGGGCGCGCGGCGUGCGCCUGGCGCUGCUGGCGGCCUUCGCGGCGGGCGUGCUGGUGGGCUGGCAGGCCGGGCGCGCCCGCCGCCGCUUCCUCCAGUGGCGCAAGCGCCGGCUCCAGCAGCGCCUGGCCGCCGCGCAGCAGCAGCUGGAGCUCGCCUGAGCGCGCUGAGCCGGGGGGGCUCCGCUCCCGCGCGCCCCUGGUGUUGAUGGGAGCAGACAGCAAAUGUACGUAACAGGCUCAUCUUGCAUCUCUGUCUAAGUGGAUUUAAAAGGAACUAUUUUAAAAAUCAUGUUACAGCAUGGGAAGGAAAGCAUCUUGUAGAGUUCCAAGAUGAAACUGCUGUCAGAAAAAAGAUCUUCACCCACAUCAGACUAAAUAAACCAUCUAGCAAAGCGUUGAGAAAUGAAUUAUGAACAGAACAGCAACAAAUAUUUUUCCUUAUUUGGAAGGACUAGCUCUACUUAAUUUUGCUUUGUAAUCCUAAAGUCAUCUACUGAGAUAUAUAUUGUAUAUUGUUCUGUGCUUACCAAGAGGUACUACUGGUACAUUAUACUGUUAAAAAGUAUACAUGGAUUAAACUGGUAAAAAGCUUA